GUAUCACUACUCGAGCACUAAAUAGUUUCUCUUUCGUUCCCUAUAUAUAAACCCAUUCAUCUUCUUUAGCGUAGUCUCCAAACCUAAGCGUAUGCUCUCUCUCACGUCAAGAGUUCUGAUUCUCUCUCUAGAGCCUUCUGAUUUUUCCCUCUUUAAAAUUCUUCUCAGAUCUGAUUGUUCUUCAUGCAAGUACAAAUCCAACUGAUUUUCCAUUCUCUCUCUACAAACGUAUUAUGGGAG
rnacentral:lncRNA from 1 species